rnacentral:rRNA from 1 species
AUUGCAGGCUGCAACCCGCCCUGUAUGAAGUUGGAAUCGCUAGUAAUCGCGGAUCAGCAUGCCGCGGUGAAUACGUUCCCGGGCCUUGUACACACCGCCCGUCACACCAUGAGAGUCGGGAACACCCGAAGUCCGUAGCCUAACCGCAAGGGGGCGCGGCCGAAGGUGGGUUCGAUAAUUGGGGUGAAGUCGUAACAAGGUAAC